rnacentral:rRNA from 1 species
AUUGAACGCUGGCGGCAGGCCUAACACAUGCAAGUCGAGCGAGCGGCGGACGGGUGAGUAAAGUAUGGGGUCUGCUCGAUAGAGGGGGAUAACACCUGGAAACGGUGGCUAAUAUCGCAUACCCUCUGAUUAACCAUAUGGGAUUAGCUAGUAGGUAAGGUAAUGGCUCACCUAGGCGACGAUCCCUAGCUGGUCUGAGAGGAUGAUCAGCCACACUGGGACUGAGACACGGCCCAGACUCCUACGGAGGCAGCAGUGGGGAAUAUUGCACAAUGGGCGCAAGCCUGAUGCAGCCAUGCCGCGUGUAUGAAGAAGGCCCUAGGGUUGUAAAGUACUUUCAGUCGGGAGGCGUUACCGACAGAAGAAGCACCGGCUAACUCCGUGCCAGCAGCCGCGGUAAUUC